rnacentral:rRNA from 1 species
GAUGAACGCUAGCUACAGGCUUAACACAUGCAAGUCGAGGGGAAACGACAUCGAAAGCUUGCUUUUGAUGGGCGUCGACCGGCGCACGGGUGAGUAACGCGUAUCCAGCCUGCCCACCACUUGGGGAUAACCUUGCGAAAGUAAGACUAAUACCCAAUGAUAUCUCUAGAAGACAUCUGAAAGAGAUUAAAGAUUUAUCGGUGAUGGAUGGGGAUGCGUCUGAUUAGCUUGUUGGCGGGGUAACGGCCCACCAAGGCAACGAUCAGUAGGGGUUCUGAGAGGAAGGUCCCCCACAUUGGAACUGAGACACGGUCCAAACUCCUACGGGAGGCAGCAGUGAGGAAUAUUGGUCAAUGGACGAGAGUCUGAACCAGCCAAGUAGCGUGCAGGAAGACGGCCCUAUGGGUUGUAAACUGCUUUUAUAAGGGAAUAAAGUGAGUCUCGUGAGACUUUUUGCAUGUACCUUAUGAAUAAGGACCGGCUAAUUCCGUG